GUGCCUCUUCUAUCAUACCUCGAGCUUCUAAAAAGCGAGCCACACUAUUAUGAUGCUCCUUGGGGAUUGAAGGUAAUAUUUCACUGGCUCUUUCCAGAUCUCCACGCAUUACAAGUGUCUUGUAUUCAAUCAAGCUAAGAAGUAAUGUGUAUCUUAAAUUCUUUGUCAAUUAAAUACACACGACUGUGACUGGCAAGAUAUCCAAGUAAAUACAUAGGCCGAU
rnacentral:misc_RNA from 1 species